UGGAGCUGUGGUUUGUCAGAGAUCAGCUGUGAUUAUCUGGCAGCAGCACUGAAGUCCAACCCUCCCCUGAACAUCUGGAGCUGGGCUACAACAACAAGGCUGCAGGAUUCAGGAGUGAAGCAUCUGUGUGGUUUCCUGGAGAGUCCAGGCAUGUGGACUUGAAACUCUGAGAUUGGGGGGCUGUGAUUUGUCAGAGAUCAGCUGUGAUUAUCUGGCAGCAGCACUGAAGUCCAACCCCUCCCAUCUGAAACUUCUGCACCUGAAAUUCAAUAACCUGAAGGAUCCAGAUGUGAAGCAGCUGUCUGAUCUUCAGCAGAGUCAAGACUACAGACUGGAGAAUCUGGAGUGGGAACCAUGGCAUUAAACAGGACGGUGUGUGCUGAGAGAGGAGCAGCUGUGUCCUGAUGAUCCAGAGAGGUUGAAGCAGCAGCAGCUUGUGUGUAGAGAUGCUCUGACUGGGCCAUGUUACUGGGAGGUGGAGAGGAGAGCUUCAUCCAGCAGUGACUGACAGAGGAAUGAAGUGCAGAUGACUGUCAGUGCUGCAGAGUGAACUGAACACAUGCUCUCUGAAUCAUGUGAUAACCCCUUGGCUUCCGUACUUGCGCUUCGCUGUUCCACUUGAACGA